AGAGACUUAGGCUAAACCACARACCACACGCCUUCAAAGCAUGAAAUAUGUACCAUACAUAGUCUCUG
rnacentral:tRNA from 1 species